rnacentral:rRNA from 1 species
CUUCCGCCGGCGACCGGCGCACGGGUGAGUAACACGUAUGCAACCUGCCCCUGUCAGGGGGACAACCCGCCGAAAGGCGGGCUAAACCCGCGUACAUGCCACCGGGGCAUCCCGGAGGCAGGAAAGGCUUCGGCCGGACAGGGAUGGGCAUGCGGCGCAUUAGCUAGACGGCGGGGUAACGGCCCACCGUGGCGACGAUGCGUAGGGGUUCUGAGAGGAAGGUCCCCCACACUGGUACUGAGACACGGACCAGACUCCUACGGAAGGCAGCAG